AUGCUUUCUGAACAUUUUUGGAAACCAACCAAUGGAUGUGAGCACAGUGAAGCAGAGAGUGGUGCAUUUCAACAGUGGUGACAGCGACAUGAAACACAAGCCAUAUUCCAGAUGGCCAUGCAAAAUUUUGUAAGCAUGACAUGAAGGCUCCUGUGGUGAGAAAGAACACUAACGUUGGGAAUCCACCUCUCUUUUAGAAGAAAGAACUGUCUACAGCUUGUUCAGAGAACACAGUGUCUGGACAAGAGGAAUGCAGAGGACUCUGGGCAGGACAUUGCUCUAGGCAGUCCCAUUGCUGAAGAAAAACUCCAAACAGGCUUUCUUCAGGAUUCAGGCAUAGAGUAAAGCAAUAUCUGGACAAGGAGGAAGGGAAGACACAGAAGUCAUUCCAGAAGCAUUAUGAAUGUGUUAUUUCUGCUCUCGAUGGGGACAGGAAUUCUGGGUAUUUCUGAACAUAUGGGCCUUGAUCUUCGUAACAGAAAGCUGGACAAAGGGAAAUAUUAUUUUUUUCCUGAUGAGUCUCUCCUGAAAUGUUUCACAUGUUUAAAGAUACAUUGAGAAUGGAAGCUGGCUUUGCUGUUGAUGUAAUUAUAUGAGAAGGAAAGUAAUCAGCUGUUUUCAUGCAAUCUGAUAAUGAACUACAAGCUGUGUAAAAUCUGCUUGCAUAGUAGUAAGAAAGAUGUACAAUAAGCAUUUGCAGUGAUUAAUUAUCUGAGUAGGUUUGUAUCCAAUUUAGAAGCAAAGACUGACACAGUCAGAAUAUUCAGUCUGUCUGGAGACCAAACAGAAGUGUGAAUGAAAGAAAAUCAUUAAGUGCAAUAUUUUCCACAAUGCUCUUGAAUUUAGUUUAGAAUAUUAAACUUUGGUAAUAAUCAGUAGUAUGUACAUGAUUCCCAUUAUUGUUAAUGGUGAACAUGUGCUUAACAUCCUGAGUGCUAUACCAAAACUUUUCUGAAAUAGCUUUUAAAGAUGUCCAAAAUGCUGUAGAGCUUAGAGUAAAACAGAUUGCUAAUGCCAACUAAUGUGUGCAAUAAAAUCCAUGGCAAUGGCACACUGAUUAGGAUGUGUUUUUCAGAAUCUUAUCUUUACAGAAUAUUUAAUCUUGAAAACCCAGUUGGGUUUUAUAUGUACACUGCAUGGGGCACAUCUUGCUCUCAGAUAUAAUCAAAUAAAUCUAUAGUACCUUCAUACAAGUCAAACUUCUACAGCCAUAAAACCAGUAAGAGAAGAAUAUACUUUGGUCAUGUCUCAGAACAGUAUUACGUUGAUGCGUUCUUGACGUGCAAAUGUGCAUGCAAUCAAAGCUUAAAAUGAAUUAUUUUGUGAUACAUGCUCAGUUCUAUGGGCAAUUUUUUUUAAAUCAAGUGCAUACUUGUCAAGGAAAGCAAAAUUAAGAAAUGGCAGAUCUCAGCAUGAAUAUUUUGAAACAUGGGGGAAGAAAUUCAAAGUCUUUGCAAGACUAACUGACACCAACUAUUGGCAUCUUGCAUCGCCUCCUUGUGUUAAUUUGCCUGGCUUUCCAAAAUUGUUUUUUAAAGCUUCUGAUGCCUUAAGCUUUUGAAAUAUAAAGAAAAUUGCUACUGCUGAUGUCACUCUCCAAUCCUUUUUUGCACUCUGUGAACCACCAGGCCGCUCCCCUGGUCAGUCUACUCCUCCCAUCCAUACCUUUGUGAUUUGAGCCUCAGUCAUUGACCAGCUCUUUGAAAAGUGAUAACCAUGGCCAGCAGGCACCUGACAGUAUUACAGCCAUUACUCUGUAUCACUGAAAGCAAAACCACACAGAAAUUAUUUAUUAGGCUUUACUAAAAAUAGCAAGCUGCAGAAAGAAUUUAGGAUAAAAGAGGAAUUAUAACCAGAGUGGCUUUCAUAAUGGAGCAUUUGAUACUUGGAAGCAUGGGUGAAAAAUCUCUCUACUGUUCCUAUUUAUUUGCAAAGAACCCUACUAUUUCAGUGUUGUUUCUCGUGAUCAAUACCAGUUUAAAGACCUGCAGAGUAAAUCCAGAUGACUAGGGCUCAAAGUCUUGUUAAAUUGCUGGCAUUUUUUUUCCUGAAACUGGCUCUUCCUUGGCUCGCAAACCAGGAGCAGUGGUAGAAAGAGGAGUGAUAUAUGCAGGGAGUGUCUGGGGCUCUGUUCACUAUUGAACGGGAGAAGAAUGAGAGGAAAGCACAAAGAGAGGAAAUUGGCUGUGCAUGGGUGUAAUUAAUAUGUGGCACAAAGAGGUAAUUAAAUGAAGAAUGGUUUAUCAAAGGAAUAAAUGUGUAGUAUAUAUCUUCACGGAAUAAACAGGCUGGGGAUUUGUACGAAGUUCACAUCCCUGUGGACGUAUCCUUGGUACUGCUAUGUAGAUAUAAAAGUAGGGUGAAAUAACAGAAACUAGAAGGGUGUAUUGUGACUGCUUGUCGCUGUGGAUCCUUUCUUUUUUUAAAAUGGAUACCAUUAUGGAAUAGCCUGUGUGUUCACCACAGGUGAUACUACUAAAAAGUUGCCCACAGUAGAUGAGAUGAUUAAGCAAAUAAGUGCCCAAGGUAUAAAUCAUGAGCUUGUUCUAAGUGCUACGAUGGCACUAGCUAAAGAAACAGGGUUCAUUUAUGUGCAAGUGGAAAGAAAUGGUUUAGAGCAAAGACAAAGCACUUCAAGAUGCUUAACAAAUAUUCAUUAUCAUUGCAGGUGAGAUGCUAUGGAAAUGUAAAUACAAGCAGAAAACAUUCAGCUCAAGCAUUUGCAAGCAAACACGAUACACACACACCAGGCACACAAAGCAAAACAUUUACUAAAAGUGCAGAGACUUUAUAACUCAGCUGAGUUCUAGCAUAUUAACAUUUAAAGUAAAGAUAUUUAUUUUAGUUGGAGUGCUGAGUAUUCUAAUAAUGCUGAUUAUUCCAGUACUUAUGCAACACUUCUGUGAAUGUAUCUUAUCAUGAAUGGUUUAUUAAACUGGUUCAAAUGGUCAACAGGCAUUUCAAAUGCAUUUACUUGAACUUUAAUGUUGCAUGUUACAUUAGAAAUGGCUGGCUAAACAUAUUUAAGACAUUUAGCAGUGUGAAGUGCUACCCAAAAAUUCAAGCAAAUGUGUUUUUAAUAGUGGUUGAUGUGUUAUGACUAUCCUGUGCCAUAAAUGUUAUGUGUAUUAUUUCUGAGAUAUUUACACAUUACUAGAUUCCAUCUGUAGUACUUCUCUGCUUAUUAAAUUAUAUAAACAAACAUUAAAAUGUACCAUAAGAGUCAAGCGUAAAGUUCCCUCUCAGAUUUGCACAGCAGGUACCUGUUUGGAUAUCCCACCACCAUUAAGCAUUCAGGACUCUCAUGGCAGGAAACAUAAUCAAAAUUACAGUUCAAAUGAGCAAUUGAAGUGUUGGCAUGUUUAUCUGAAUUUUAUUGAUAUGGAAAUCUGAAAUGGCAACCCUACCUAUUUACGGACAACCUUAGUGAAAUCAGAUAAGAUAAAACUUAACAUGUUAAGGCCAGCUCACGAGGACUGUAAAACAGCAUAUGCUGGAGUGUUUCCUUACAGCUAGACUUCUUUAUAAGUGAUAUGGGAACCAUAUCUAUAAUGAGAAAUAUGAUAUGUUUAAGUUGAGUUUGCCCAACUAUUCCCAUAAGCAACUUCUAAUUUUCAGUUGCUUCUAACUUUCUCUGCACUUACAUUUGCUUCUGAUUGCGUAAUUUAAACCACAUUGUUUUGCAUUUCAUCUCUGGCUAUAGUUACAAGAAAUUUUGGCAGCAGAUCUGUCCUGCAUCAAAGAGGUUAUUUUUGCUAACUUCGUAAGAAAAAUUUUCCAAAGGGGAAAAUCUUUGCAGUCUUAGGCUCACUCCUGCUCAGCAGAGAUCAACGUUGCUGGUGCCAGCAGCAGAUAGAGGGUAAGCAAGAGGGUCUUACUCAGAUAAUGAAGGAUGAGGACUGAGAUGAAUGGAAGGAAGGAAAUGAAGUAGAGAGACCAAGUGAGGUCAUAGGAAAUGGAAGGGUUCUGUGAUGAAAGUAGUUAUAAGAAAACUGAUGACAAUAUUAGGAGCCAUAAAGAAGAAAGAAUAGGAGUGAUGAUGCUGGUAAAGAGGAGACCUGGAUCAAUGAAAGGGCGCCGUGAGAGCAGAGAUGGGGCAGGAGAUAGGAAAAAUAGCAGAGAGAAGAAACAGCUAGAGAAAUGGAAUUAAAAGCAAGGAGUGAGAUGCACAUAUGAACAAAUAACAGUCAAGCACUGGUGCACUCAGCUCACCUGUGGUUGGUGAAUAGACCUGAUGCUUGGUGCACUGUGAGUAAGGACCUUUGUGGAAAAGUGUGGUCUUGUGCCUAUGUGUAGUAUACAGCUAUGAAGUGUGUCAUAAAGCAAGUGCACAAAAAGGACACUGCAGUUCAUAACUUCUUCAUUGUCUGGCACUCACCAUAAGCACACUCUUGAGGCACAGAAACAAGCACGUUUACGGAGGUCGAUCGUAAGAUGUCCCUCUUAGAUGUGUCCCAGUGGCUCUAUACCUAUGCUCUUAUUUGUCUGUGAUGAAAAAGAUGAAUCUGGAUAAUUCAAUUCUGGAAUGGAUAAGUGUCAGAGAAAGGUCUCUGGAUCUGCUAGGCAGAAAGGUCUGCAAGGAACACUAAGAGGAUGCAGUUUGUGGGGAAUGAGAUUGGGAUAGAAGAAAGGACCCACCAGGAAUUGCCCUUGGGGCAGUUAGAGCUGCUUCCCAUCUGCUUGCAUGGAGAUGGAGGGGGGCUGUGACAGGUGUGUUUGGCAGCUCCUCAUUCUUUUCCUGGCAGGGAUUGCAAGAUUCUGAAAUCACCCGAAUCACCAUGCAGCAUGUCAUAUGGUGAGGUGGGGAGGUUUUGUGACUACAGUUGGGAGUGUCCACAGUUCUCUGUUUGCACAAAUGAUAAAACACAUCUCAUUAUCUGGACAGAGCAUAAUAAUUUCCAUGACUUUACUUAAUAUAAAAGAUCUUACUGCAUUUUGCACAGUCUGAAUGUCCUUAAAUAAAACUUUUAUCUCAAAAGCCUGUGAUAUUUCCAACCUGGGAAGAGAUUCACUGAAAAACGAAUAUUAGAUCAUUUCAGUACUGUCCCCAGAUCUGCUUAGCUCUAAAUUAUAAAAUUUGUGAAUUAGCUACUGUCUGUUUUCAGAGUUUUCCAUUACAAGGGGUCAGGCACCAGAGGAAAUAGUUUUCUAAAUCAGAAAGGAAUAUUAAAUGACACCACCGAUAAGUAUGAACAGUGGUGCAGAAGAUUUAUUGAGUAAUGUGUUAGGUUGAUAAAUGAUAACAUUUAUUUGCAAUUUGAGGAUGUGACCCAAAUGACACUCAUUAGCUCAGCUUGUGUAGAACCGAUUAGUUUUGUAAAUUUAUUAUUUGUCUGGUGCUAUUGGAAGAAGAGUCUGUUUAAUUGAUUGGAAAUCUGUUUCAUUUCAGCAAAUAUUACGUAUUCUGUUCUUAAUUGUAUUCUGUAGUUUCCUCCUGAAUGUCAGGGAGAUUACAGUCUAUUAUUUGAGUGGGGGAGUGCUCAGCACCUUGCUAACAGGCUGCACCAAAUGCAUUAAUCCAUACAUAGAGAGGUGGAUUUCAAUUACCUACUGGGCUCUUUUGGAAUACAACUGGCUCACAAAAUCAUAGAGUAAUGGAGAUUAGCAAGAAUCUUUGGAGGACAUCUGGUCCAAAACCAGGUCGGACAUUAGGAAAAUUUUCCUCUUAGAAAGAAUGGUAAUGCAUUGGCACAGCGUGCCCAGGGAGGUGGGGAAGUAUCACCGUCCCUGGAGAGGAUCAAGAACUAUGGAGGUGUGGCACUGAGAGACGUGAGCAAUAUUGUUGGUAGGUGGGCAGAUGGACUUGAUGAUCCUAGAUUCCUUUACCAAGCUUAAUGAUUCUGUGUAACACCAGCUAAAGAAUAGCUGUCUGGAGCAUGACCAUGUUCAAAUGGCUGAUUCUGUUAGUAAAGCUCAAAUGACAUGUGUUCAGUUUCCCCAGUAAGGUACCUGGAUUUAAGAGCAUAAUUCCAGAAUGCAUAUUGUUUUGUUUGCUUAGGUGUUUUGUUUUGUUUUCUUUGCCAAUGCCUAUCAUCACUGUGAGAUAAUGCCUGUCUCUCUUAAAUACAGGAUCCUAUAAAUACAGGAUUGACUGUAUUUAAGUCUAGGGAUUUGGAGAACCUGAUAGUAAACUGUUGUUUUUGGGGUUUUGAGGAAAAAGUCCAGUGAAUAUUAAACUAUUACAGUUUUCUCCCCCCCGCAGAAAAUACUCCAGAAUCUGGAAUAGAAAAUGAUGCCUUUCUUUUAGGAGGGUUUGAAAAAUCCUAAACAAAGUUAGAGGGUUUCUGCAAGUUUGAGCUGUGCAAUAUUCUGAACUAGGAAAGAGCUUCAACAGUUUUCAGAAAUACUGACAUGUUGAAAUUGGGAAAAAGUUCGUCUUCACAGAUACUAAUAUAAAACUCUUCAGAAAGGAAAGCUCUCAGAUUAUUGAAGAGUCCCCUUGCAACAUUUUCUAAACACAUUUAGGUGUUUUCCAAUGGCUGGAGAUGAGUUUUGUUUUGACACUUUGUUAUCCCUUAGUGAAGUGUAAACAUUAGAAGAUGAAAACUGAAAUGAAACAUGAGAAAAAUAAAAUCUUUGAGUAGACCCACAAUAACUCCAUCAGCCUCACAGCCCUCAUGAAACAGAGAGCAAGAGUUGGCUCCUCAUCCUCACCUGACAGCAACCUUCAAAACAUUAAAGAAUCUAGGCAGACAGGCAUUCAGAAUUCCUGCUUCCUGCAAACAAACGUUUGUGUAGAGAAAGCCUGCAAACACAGAUGGCACAAGACUACAUAUUCUGUGGCUUCUGAGAACAACUUUGCCUUUUCACAUCCAGCAAAACCUUAAAAAACUUCUGAAAGCUCAGGAACAUCCAACUAUUUCCUUAUAUUUGAUUUCCCUUGACUCUUCCUGUGAUUCUGAACUAGGACUAAGCCAUUUCAACCAAAAGGUAGCAUUGCAAAGUUGUAUGGGUCUCAUAAAAAGACAGCACAAAAAAUCAGUUUCCUUCCUAAAAAAAAAGCAAAAAACCU